UGGAGGGCAAGUCUGGUGCCAGCAGCCGCGGUAAUUCCAGCUCCAAUAGCGUAUAUUAAAGUUGUUGCAGUUAAAAAGCUCGUAGUUGAAUUUCGAAAUUUUUUUAUCGGUUAAAUCAACAGAUUUAUACUGAUUUUAAGAAUUUCUACCUUCUGGAGAACCAUAAUGUCAUUAAUUUGGUGUUUUGGGGAACCAGAACUGUUACCUUGAAAAAAUUAGAGUGUUUAAAGCAGGCUUAUGUCUGAAUAUAUUAGCAUGGAAUAAUGAAAUAGGACGGCAUGGUUCUAUUUUGUUGGUUUCUAGGAUCACCGUAAUGAUUAAUAGGGAUAGUUGGGGGCAUUAGUAUUCAAUUGUCAGAGGUGAAAUUCUUGGAUUUAUUGAAGACUAACUUCUGCGAAAGCAUUUGCCAAGGAUGUUUUCAUUAAUCAAGAACGAAAGUUAGGGGAUCGAAGACGAUCAGAUACCGUCGUAGUCUUAACCAUAAACUAUGCCGACUAGGGA
rnacentral:rRNA from 1 species